AUUGAACGCUGGCGGCAGGCCUAACACAUGCAAGUCGAACGAGUGGCGGACGGGUGAGUAAUGUCUGGGAAACUGCCCGAUGGAGGGGGAUAACUACUGGAAACGGUAGCUAAUACCGCAUACCAUCGGAUGUGCCCAGAUGGGAUUAUCUAGUAGGUGGGGUAAUGGCUCACCUAGGCGACGAUCCCUAGCGUGUCUGAGAGGAUGACCAGCCACACUGGAACUGAGACACGGUCCAGACUCCUACGGGAGGCAGAAGUGGGGAAUAUUGGACAAUGGGCGCAAGCCUGAUGCAGCCAUGCCGCGGGUAUGAAGAAGGCCUUCGGGUUGUAAAGUACUUUCGGCGUGGAGGCGUUACCCGCAGAAGAAGCACCGGCUAACUCCGUGCCAGCAGCCACGGUAAUUC
rnacentral:rRNA from 1 species